AUAAAAUAGAUGAGAUAAAAUUGAUAAUCAAACAUUUUCUAAAACAUAUUUAGUUACUUACAGUCCAAAAGAUGAAUAGUCUUGGUUUACUGUCUUGAUACAAAUUUGGUAAAACCUAAAAUAAAAGAAAAUAUAUUGUAAAUGUAUUAGUCAUUAUAUAUACUGAAAAAAUAACACAUAGAAAUUUUGAGCAUACCUGCCAACCAGCUUCAAUGCUGUUGAGAUUGUUUUUGUUGUAGCUUCCAGAUGUAAUCCAAAUUAGCGAUAAGCUGAACUCAUCUCUGCUUUCUACGGUUGGAUCCCACACACUUAUUGUAGCAUUUGCUCCGUACAUUUUGGUUGAGGUUAUCGUACUUCCGACCGCAUGCUGUUAUUUUCCAAGUCAUAUCAUCAAUAAUUCUUAAAACAAACGAUAAUUGUUGUUUAAUAAUGUUUAUGAUGUUUCUGAAAUGAUUAAUACUAUUUCGUUUUUCAUUCUUUAUUAAUAUGUAAUUUAAACCGAAAAUACAAUGAUUCUUAGAAAACAAAAAUACAAUGCUAUUUAGGAAAAUUGUUAAUAGAAAAAGGGGCUAAGGCCCACAAACAUUUUUAGGAAAGAUCCAUUAAUAUUUUUUUUAAAACAAGGCCCUACAACAUGUUAGUACUAUUUAUUAAGAAGAGACCAAAAAUCAUUUCCUAAGGCCCGUAUAGUUCUAUUAAAAAAAUCUUACUUCUUCAUACAUAACAAUUUGGUAAAAGUAAAAAAAAAAAUUGUAUAUGAAAAUCGAUUCCUUGGUUAAAAAAAUUAAGAUAUAAAAUUAUAAUAAUGAAAAUAUGAGUUAAUUUACUAACUAUUAAGUGAUAUUCAUUUUUUUUUAGAUAUAAUUUGUUGUCAUUGAAAAUUUAACUAUGUAUGUAUAAGAUAAUACCUCAUGUGGAGAAUCUCCUAUUAGAGAAGCAAAAGAUUCAUCGGUAGAAUUAAUUCUUUCGUACUUCCAAAUAGGUACAGUUAUUUUGGACACUCCCAAAUGCUCACAUGAGCUUCCCUUGUUUCCCAUUUGCUUUUAUGUUUUAUUUGGAUAGAAUUUGGAAUUUUCGAUGGUUGUUUCUGUAUAAAUAAUUUGAAAAGAAUUAUUAUUUGUCAAAAAAUAUUAUUGAAAUUUUAAAAUAAAACGAUAUUCAAUAUAUAAGAUACACAAAAUGAUAAAAAAAAAGUU
rnacentral:sRNA from 1 species